rnacentral:rRNA from 1 species
CAAAAAAUGCCCAGCCCCUCAAGUAAGGGGCAAGAAACCUAAGCCGCCUGGUGGAUGGCUCGGCUCGGGGCGCCGACGAAGGGCGUGGC